rnacentral:rRNA from 1 species
GACGGGACCGCACAAGCGGUGGAUGAUGUGGUUUAAUUCGAUGCAACGACGAAAACCUUACCCACCUUGACAUGGCAGGAAUCCCGAAGAGAUUGGAGUGCUCGAAAGAGAACCUGCACACAGGUGCUGCAUGGCUGUCGUCAGCUCGUGUCGUGAGAUGUUGGGUUAAGUCCCGCAACGAGCGCAACCCUUGCCAUUAGUUGCUACGAAAGGGCACUCUAAUGGGACUGCCGGUGACAAACCGGAGGAAGGUGGGGAUGACGUCAAGUCCUCAUGGCCCUUAUAGGUGGGGCUACACACGUCAUACAAUGGCCGGUACAGAGGGUAGCCAACCCGCGAGGGGGAGCCAAUCCCACAAAGCCGGUCGUAGUCCGGAUCGCAGUCUGCAACUCGACUGCGUGAAGUCGGAAUCGCUAGUAAUCGCGGAUCAGCAUGUCGCGGUGAAUACGUUCCCGGGUCUU